AGCUCUUUUUCUAAAAGAGGUCAAUACAAUCUAAAAAAUGGUCACGACCAUCAAACCCUCUUAAUUUUACUUUACAGUUUCUCAAUUAUCACUCUGUUUCAUCACUCCUCUGCAGUUCACACACCUAGAGCAAUGCUGAUUGGUUGCUUAUUAAUUAUAAAUAUGGACUUACUUUAAAACCUAGUAGAUUUCAUGUAAAAUCCACAUGUAAAACAACUGCAAAUUAAUAUCAUUCCAAAUUUAUUACAUCAAUACAAUAUGUAAUUAGAUAUUGCAUGAUCUGGUGGGUUAACCAAACAAUGGAAGCUAUGAAAAUUUGUACCAGGUAUUUAAGGAAUGAAACCUCGAAUUGUUGUUAGAGACACCACAAUUAAGUUGUAUUAUAUGAUAUGUUUAUAGUUUAUUAUUUGCAUGUUUGAAUGUGACUGUACUGAACAGUAGAAGCAGAGGCAUUUGUUUUAUAUAUAUAGUUAAUAUUGCUUUUUUUUUAAAAUAAUGAAAAAGCAGACUGUGAUAUCAUGAACCAAUAACCUUCAAACAAGGGAAUUAAAGUUCGGUGGAAUACUUUGUAUACAUAAUUGUAAUUCAGGUACAUGUACAUAAAAUUGUUCCUUAAUUUUUCCAAAGGAGCUCUCUUAUAUUGUUUUCACCACUGACCAAUAAAAAAGUGUUUCAGCUCAGUUGACAGUAUACCGAAAUUUAACCUUUUAUGGUUUAAAUUUAUGAAUUGCAUUGAAUCAUUGCAUUUGUUUUAAAGAUAAUUUAUUGCAUCAGUUUGAAUUUUAAAUAACCCUAAAGUAUUCAUCAAUAAAGAAUACCGACAAG
rnacentral:sRNA from 1 species